AACGAACGCUGGCGGCAUGCCUAACACAUGCAAGUCGAACGAGACCUUCGGGUCUAGUGGCGCACGGGUGCGUAACGCGUGGGAACCUGCCCUUAGGUUCGGAAUAACUCCCCGACAGGGGUGCUAAUACCGGAUAAUGUCUUCGGACCAAAGAUUUAUCGCCCUUGGAUGGGCCCGCGUUGGAUUAGCUAGUUGGUAGGGUAAAAGCCUACCACGGCGACGAUCCAUAGCUGGUCUGAGAGGAUGAUCAGCCACACUGGGACUGAGACGCAGCCCAGACUCCUACGGGAGGCAGCAGUGGGGAAUAUUGGACAAUGGGCGAAAGCCUGAUCCAGCAAUGCCGCGUGAGUGAUGAAGGCCUUAGGGUUGUAAAGCUCUUUUACCCGGGAUGAUAAUGACAGUACCGGGAGAAUAAGCUCCGGCUAACUCCGUG
rnacentral:rRNA from 1 species